rnacentral:hammerhead_ribozyme from 1 species
AUUCAGCUGACGAGUCCCAAAAAGGACGAAACGCGCAUCCUGGAU